CCUACGGGCGGCUGCAGUGGGGAAUAUUGGACAAUGGGGGCAACCCUGAUCCAGCCAUGCCGCGUGUGUGAAGAAGGCCCUCGGGUUGUAAAGCACUUUCAGUGAGGAAGAACGCCUGGUGGUUAAUACCCAUCAGGAAAGACAUCACUCACAGAAGAAGCACCGGCUAACUCCGUGCACAGCAGCCGCGGUAAUACGGAGGGUGCGAGCGUGAAUCGGAAUUACUGGGCGUAAAGCGCGCGUAGGUGGCGUGAUAAGCCGGUUGUGAAAGCCCCGGGCUCAACCUGGGAACGGCAUCCGGAACUGUCGAGCUAGAGUGCAGGAGAGGAAGGUAGAAUUCCCGGUGUAGCGGUGAAAUGCGUAGAGAUCGGGAGGAAUACCAGUGGCGAAGGCGGCCUUCUGGACUGACACUGACACUGAGGUGCGAAAGCGUGGGUAGCAAACAGGAUUAGAUACCCCUGUAGUC
rnacentral:rRNA from 1 species